rnacentral:tRNA from 1 species
GUCUCGUUAGCUCAGCUGGAUAGAGCAGCGGUCUUCUACACCGUAGGUCAGUGGUUCGAAUCCACUACGGGACGCCA